CAACCUGCCGUCUACUCUUGGACAGCCUUCUGAAAGGAAGAUUAAUACAAGAUGGCAUCAUGAGUUCACAUGUUCACAUGAUUAAAGGUAUUCCGGUAGACGAUGGGGAUGCGUUCCAUUAGAUAGUAGGCGGGGUAACGGCCCACCUAGUCUUCGAUGGAUAGGGGUUCUGAGAGGAAGGUCCCCCACAUUGGAACUGAGACACGGUCCAA
rnacentral:rRNA from 1 species